GAUGAACGCUGGCGGCGUGCCUAAUACAUGCAAGUCGAGCGAACGGACGAGAAGCUUGCUUCUCUGAUGUUAGCGGCGGACGGGUGAGUAACACGUGGAUAACCUACCUAUAAGACUGGGAUAACUUCGGGAAACCGGAGCUAAUACCGGAUAAUAUUUUGAACCGCAUGGUUCAAAAGUGAAAGACGGUCUUGCUGUCACUUAUAGAUGGAUCCGCGCUGCAUUAGCUAGUUGGUAAGGUAACGGCUUACCAAGGCAACGAUGCAUAGCCGACCUGAGAGGGUGAUCGGCCACACUGGAACUGAGACAUGGUCCAGACUCCUACGGGAGGCAGCAGUAGGGAAUCUUCCGCAAUGGGCGAAAGCCUGACGGAGCAACGCCGCGUGAGUGAUGAAGGUCUUCGGAUCGUAAAACUCUGUUAUUAGGGAAGAACAUAUGUGUAAGUAACUGUGCACAUCUUGACGGUACCUAAUCAGAAAGCCACGGCUAACUACGUGCCAGCAGCCGCGGUAAUACGUAGGUGGCAAGCGUUAUCCGGAAUUAUUGGGCGUAAAGCGCGCGUAGGCGGUUUUUUAAGUCUGAUGUGAAAGCCCACGGCUCAACCGUGGAGGGUCAUUGGAAACUGGAAAACUUGAGUGCAGAAGAGGAAAGUGGAAUUCCAUGUGUAGCGGUGAAAUGCGCAGAGAUAUGGAGGAACACCAGUGGCGAAGGCGACUUUCUGGUCUGUAACUGACGCUGAUGUGCGAAAGCGUGGGGAUCAAACAGGAUUAGAUACCCUGGUAGUCCACGCCGUAAACGAUGAGUGCUAAGUGUUAGGGGGUUUCCGCCCCUUAGUGCUGCAGCUAACGCAUUAAGCACUCCGCCUGGGGAGUACGACCGCAAGGUUGAAACUCAAAGGAAUUGACGGGGACCCGCACAAGCGGUGGAGCAUGUGGUUUAAUUCGAAGCAACGCGAAGAACCUUACCAAAUCUUGACAUCCUUUGACAACUCUAGAGAUAGAGCUUUCCCCUUCGGGGGACAAAGUGACAGGUGGUGCAUGGUUGUCGUCAGCUCGUGUCGUGAGAUGUUGGGUUAAGUCCCGCAACGAGCGCAACCCUUAAGCUUAGUUGCCAUCAUUAAGUUGGGCACUCUAAGUUGACUGCCGGUGACAAACCGGAGGAAGGUGGGGAUGACGUCAAAUCAUCAUGCCCCUUAUGAUUUGGGCUACACACGUGCUACAAUGGACAAUACAAAGGGCAGCGAAACCGCGAGGUCAAGCAAAUCCCAUAAAGUUGUUCUCAGUUCGGAUUGUAGUCUGCAACUCGACUACAUGAAGCUGGAAUUGCUAGUAAUCGUAGAUCAGCAUGCUACGGUGAAUACGUUCCCGGGUCU
rnacentral:rRNA from 1 species